UGAUUGUCUCCCAACAGCAACAGGUUAUGGAGAUCUCCUCUGCAAAUGAGAAGGAAAAGACAGAGGAAUCCUUCACUUCAAAUGAGAUUAUGGAGGCAAAAAAAGGCAUCAAUUGAAAGGAUCAGAAAGGAGAUUACUGAAUCCACAGUAGAAUCCAUCUGAAAUUGAGAGACAUAGACAUAGUUCUAGAGCAAAUAUAUCUAGAAGGUCACCAUUCGCCAAAAUGAUAUGGAAAAAGACUUAAUUUGGAGUUCUAUGCACAAAUAUUUCAUGGGACAAAAGGUAUUCUAUAAUCAGAAGAUUGUGAAGCCCAAGGUAGAGGCAAAAAUUUAGCUGGUAUGUAUAAAUUCUUUUCACAUUUUCUUCAAGUAAGGCUAAGUUAAAACAGUAUCUGUUUUCAAAUAAUCUUUGUCUUCUGUGAUUUACCUGGUAUGCUAUGAACAAUUAAAACUUUUAAUAGUUUCUAAUGGUAUUUCCCUGUAAAGACUCUAAAAAAAGAGAGAAUGAAUAUUGUGAGUAGUUCUCAUUUAUGUAAAUAUUAUGUAUAUUCAUUUAUAUGAAUGAGAGCAAGAG
rnacentral:lncRNA from 1 species